CCUUGGACCCUUGGAGAGGGACAGGAGCGAAAUUCGCUCUGGAUCCUUAGUGAAGGACAGGAGCGAAAUUUGACUUUUUGAACUCUCUAUCAGGAUAAUUUUUAUGGAAUAUAACAUUAAAGUAUAAGUGACAUUUCCUUCUAUCUUUCUUCCUUCUUAUACUUUAAGUUAUAUUCCAUAUAUACUUUCAGGAUGUUUGAGAGUGGUUUCAGACCUCCAGGAGUUAUAUUGCAAAAUCUAGUUUUUUGAGGUUUUUCAGUUUCCAGACUUAGUCAAAUUUCAGGAUCAAGACAUUCCAGACUUAGUCAAAUUUCAGGAUCAGGACUUUUAGACUUAGCCAAAUUUUCAGGAUCAGGACAUCACUCAAGCCGGACUUGCUAUCCUAUUGAUCUCCCCGACAGCACUCAAAAAUGCAAAAGCCAACUGACAAAACCCUAAAAGACCUAGAAAACAAACCCUAAAAAGCAAAAAACAUGGGUCCCCAUUUGCAAUGGGGCGAUGUGUGAAAACGUCACAACAAUAACCUUCUGGUUGCUCAAUAUAGACUUCCUCCUCAAUGACACCUUUAAGGAAGGCUAUCUUAACGUCCAUUUGAUGCAGCUCCCAACCUUUGGCUGCAGCAAUAGCUAUUAUAGACCUAAUAGAGGUAUAUCUAGCAACAGGGGCAAAUGUUUCUUCAUAAUCUAUUCCUUCCUUUUGAGAAAAACCACGUGGUACAAAUCUAGCUUUAUAUUUUUCAAUACUACCAUCAGCAUUAUGUUUAAUUUUAAACAACCAUUUAGAAGAAACGAUAGACUUACCUUUGGGUUUGGGUACAAUGUCCCAGACAUUAUUCUUGAUGAUAGACCCAUACUCUUCGUCCAUGGCUAAUUUCCAAGCAUGAUGGGACAUAGCUUCUCCGAUAUUGUGGGGUUCAGACUCAAUUAUAUUGCACAUCACAGAAAUGUAGUUGGCAUGAUUUUGAACACUCUUGCUAUUUCUGAAAGUUCCUCUGGGAGCAGCAAACCCUUUAGCAUCUUGAAUCGUAUUUCUAACCCAAAGUGGUCUCUUCUUGCAGACCACAAUAUCCUGAGGAAUAUCGGUAGAUUGCAUGGGUUCUGAUGAGUCAUUCUGAACUUCCUGAUUUGGAAGAUCAGUAGACUCCUCCUGUAACUCAGGGUUAGCAUCAACAAUUGAAUCUUGAUUUUCCAUCACCAUAUCAUUAUAGUUGGUUAAUGAACCUUUAGAUCUUUUGAAAGCAAUAUCUUCUUCAAAAGUUACAUCUCUACUUAACUCAACAUACCUUUGACCUAAAAUGUAGAUCCUGAAGGCUUUGGAAGAUUCACUGUAUCCUACUACGAUGCCUUUCUUUCCAGAUGGAUCCAGCUUGGUUCGUUUUUCUUUAGGCACAUGAACAUACACAGGGCUUUGUUGACGUAUAUUUUGUACACAGCCUAACACAGAAUAAAAUACCUAAGGGUAUCUUAUCCUCUCUUGAGAAAAAGUCUCUAACUGCUGAAGAUUCGCAUAAAGGAUCAGUUAGGAUGACUCCAAGGUUCCUAUUAGUAGGGUCUCUACAUGUGGAUAAGCUCUCUGUGGUAUGAUGUGAUUUGCUGGAAUCACAAGGGGACUUACAUUUGGUGAUUGAAUUUCCGAUCUACUUUGCUAGAACACAAGCUCUCACUAACUUAGAUUAAAAAAAGGGAAAAAGGAAGGGGGUGAAGAGAGGAUCUAAUCCUAAUACUAAGAAUGUAGGAGCAAUGAUUUGAUUUUUGAUGAAACUCCAACUAGGUCUUGUUUUGACAUCAAUGGAACAUCUACACAAGGCUAGUGCGAUCUUCUAAGGGAAGCUUUAUGAUGUUCAAAUCAUCACCAUAGGCAUAGACACCAUCAAGUUGAUGCAUAUCAAUGAAGAAGCGACAAAUUGAAAUUGAGCUUAGGCUGAAUGAUUCCAGUUGACUACGCAAGGCAAGUCUGCAAUCAACAAACUGCUAGUAGUAUGGAUGUAUGAAUUCCACCAUUAAUCAAUCGCAUUUCCUCCAUUCAUCUAAUCAUCUACCAUCUAGGAUUGAAGACUCAACAAGAAACCAUGCAAAUUGCAAGAAACAACACACUUCACCAUUACUUCAAUGAAAAUGGAGUUUGUUUACAAUCAAUGGCAACAAUUUCUUGCCUUGUCCUCCUAUUCUACUCUAAUUACUAUUCUAUCAACUAUAUUCUAACUCUUCCAAUUAUUUACAUGCUAUCUCUAACUUAUUGCUAAUUAACCUUUACAAAUGAAAUGCCUGGGCUUAUAUAGUGCCCACAAUACAAUUUGAUGGCUUAGAUCAAUUCAAGAUCAAUGGCCAAGAUUCAACAAUGAAAACCCUAAUUAGGGUUUGUUACAACCAUUACAUAACAUUUAAUGCUUGACCAAUGACAAAAUUGUAUUGCUUGGACACAUGUCCCUUCUAGAAAAAUCGACCAAUGGAUAGCCGGGGUAGGUACAUCGGAGUUUGUGCCACCUUCCAUGAGUUAAGUACAUUGAAUCUGGACAUGCUGAGGUGGACCACACUGACUGGAGGAGUGAUGACUGGGAUGCCACCUCAUCUGACACUUGUAGCUUGCUAGAUAUUCAAUUUGAUGUCGUUGAGAGGCUAUCUUUAAUUAACUCUUGUUCUAACUCCUUGUGUCCUUGAUGUGCAGGAUGAUGAUGUACCUCGCCUUGGAACGUUGGAUUGGAAGAGGUUGCCCUUGAUGACGUUAGUCCAAAGAAGGUCGUCCUUGUCCUGGCUUGAUCGUCCCGGCGAAGACCGUCCUUGAUCCGGCUUGAUUUUCCUUGAUGAGAUCUCCAUUUGAUGCCUACACAACAUUUUAAAAUUAGUAACAUGAUUUUGCAAUAUAUAACAUAGAUUAGAUUAAUUUUUAGGAAACUUCAUAAUAAAUCCUUGAGUUAUUAUUUCCUAAAAAACGAUUGGGCUACUGGAAUUCAAAAUUCAAAAUUCAAAAUUUAAGCUAUGACGAUCAACGUUCAAAAUCAAAAUAAUAAAUCCAUAUCGUCAUACCUCACUUGAGAGCUAACUCUAGAAUGCAAAAACAAAUGGAUUCGCCUAGGCAAAAUUAACGUUUGAAGCCCUUGCCACGUGAUCUUCAAGGAUAAGGAACAUCCUCUUUAUCAAUUCGCCACCCUUGGAGUCUUUGAUGUGUUCUUCAAUGUCCUUGGCAAGUUCGCUCAAGUGGAAACUAAGUUCGCACCUCCUUGCUUGAAAUGAAAGUUCGCACCAUCUUUGGAUAUAAAUUUGCACCCUUCUCCCUUAAGAUCGCAUGUGAGAUGAUAAAAUGAUAAUGUGAAAAUAAAAGUCUUUCACCUCCCUUUAUAGGCGCUCACCUUCAUAUUGACCUUAGGCGGACUUUGGUGAAUAAGGCAAAUUUAAAAUAAGUUUAAAAGGCCGACCUUGACAAAAUAAACCCAAGCGCUCAACUUGAUUUUAUAAUUAAUUAACAAUUAAUUAUGCCUUUAUAAUUAAUUUUUUUCGAUUUUUAAUAGGCAAAAUUAAUUAAUAAAUGUUAUGCGUUAUUUUUAAAUGCCAUUUAAUUAAAUUUUGAAAACCCAUCGAAUUUAACAUUUAAAAUAAAUUCAAAAACUUGUUUGAACGCCAAAAUUGGAGAAUUGAGAAGAGUACAAACCUCAUCGCCCUGGUCCCUGACUGAGGGACAGGAGCGAUCCAUCACCUUGGUCAUGAUUCUUGCAAUUUUACGUCCAAAGUCUCCAUCCUUACGUUGUGAUUGCCAUUUUUGCUGGGCCCUUCGAGCUUGAAUGUCUUGCUUGUGUGAUCUAGUGUUCUUUUAAGGUGACAUCGCCCUGGUCCCUUGGAGAGGGACAAGAGCGAUCUUGAUGUUUUCUCCAUUUCAAGCUCAUCUUAACGUUCACCUUCCUUGUAUCACCUUCCAAAUGAUGUUUUAAAGCUUAUGCGACUUUAUUUUAACGUGAUCUUUAAAGGAUAUCAUGUGUUUUGGCAAAUAUCGUCCUGGUCCCUUGGAGAGGGACAGGAGCGAUCCUCAUAAUUUCUCCUUAAUCUUUGCAUCUUUGAUCUUUAAUCUUCAUUGUGAUGGACAAACAAUGCUAUUCUUUCGCUCCCCUUUCGUUCCACUUGAAUUCUACAAGGUGUUUAGACGUUGGAAGGAUCAUCGCCCUUGUCCCUUGGAGAGGGACAGGAGCGAUCUUCAAGCUCUAGUCCAAAUGCAUCACCUCUCAACCUUGGUUCCUCGUUCAUUGCCUUCCAAAGGUCGUUCUUGAUCUAGCGUGAACUUGCCUUGUCUUGGUUUUGACGGAACAUGAAUGUUUUAAUGAAAUCGCUUUGGUCCUUGUCCAAAGGACAGGAGCGAUAUAGGCUCUUUGCUUAAUUGAUAGUACUUUGACGUUUGGAACCUUUGAAUAUCACCCUCAAAAGACACCUUAGACCUUGUGUGAUCUCGAAAAACCUUGACUUGGCAUGAAUUUGAAGGAAAAUGAAGGAUCCCAUACAAAUCGCCCUGGUCCCUUGGAGAGGGACAGGAGCGAUAUAGCUUCUUUGUUCAAUUUGAUGAUUGUUUAACGUUUGAAGCCUUUGAAUAUCAUCUUUUAAUCAUGUCUUGGACCCUUUACGACCUUGCAAAACCUUGACCUUACGUGAUAUUUGAGAGAUUUGGCUAAUAUAAUCAAUAUCGCUCUGGUCCCUUCCUGAGGGACAGGAGCGAACUAGGUGUCUAAGUGCGGUUCCUUCAAUAUUGGCAACUUUGGAUACUUCGUGCUUGAUUGAGAUGUCUUAAGACGUCCUUGCCUCCUUGUUCUUCAUUUUGGAGUGGCUUGAACUUGGAAGAAUAGCAAUAUAAUCAUCAUAUCGCCCUGGUCCCUUGGAGAGGGACAGGAGCGAUUUUGCUCUUGUGGGCUUCAUUUCACUUCAUCUCCUUCAAAAACUAUCUUCAAUUGUCUCGUCAUACUUCCUUUCAUUCAUUCAUGCCUUGAGAUCGGUUGUAACUUGGCAAGAAAAUCAUCUAUAACAAAAAUCGCUCUGGUCCCUUCCUGAGGGACAGGAGCGAACUUAAGCAUUUUGGUCCUUUGUUGGCAUUUGGUAAUCUUCAAUUUAUCUUCAAUGAGUUCAUUUCACCUCCUUCCUUGCCUUCAAACAUAAACUUGACUUGAUCUUUGCCUGAAUUUUGUCUUGUGAAGAACUUCGCUCUGGUCCCUUGGAGAGGGACGGGAGCUACAAAGAAUUUCGCCCUGGUCCCUGACUGAGGGACAGGAGCGAUUUUGGCAUUCUGGGUCACUUUCCUUCACGGCGGCACUUCAAGUUAUAUUCAUUUGAUAAAACAUCUCUCCUUGAGCAUCUUCAAAUUGUCAAGUCGUUAAAAUCCUGCAAGGACAAAGCAAUAUUUGAUUUGUAGCUCCGGUCCUUCACUGAGGGACAGGAGCGAUUUUGCUCCUACAGGGCAGAAUAACAUGAUUUUACACGUUUAAUCACUUCACGAGGCAAAAACAAAUCACCCUCAAUGCCCGGGAUCAAAAAUCAAAAAACUCAAACUUUGGUCAAAAAUAUUCAAUUGGACAAAAAUUUCACAUUUCAUUAUCAACACUUAGACAAAUUUAGGCUCUGCACUCAAAAAUUCCAAUUGAAAAUAGACCAUUCUAGCGAAUUUAUUCCAUUCAAAAUUUGCAUCCUACAAAGAAGCUCAAAAAAGCUCUCAAAACUGACUGGAUUCUGGCCUGAAAAAACGGUAAUUAAAACCCUAAGGCUUGACCCUAAAUCCAGACAACUGACUGACUAACAAAAUCCUAAAAACGAAGUGAAAAACGAGCAAAGGAACGAGCAUAAAAACAUGGGUCCCCAUUUGCAAUGGGGCGAUGUGUGAAAACGUCACAACAGGCUUCCGAAUAUUCUUAGGUGACUGAUGUCUGGUUUGAUUCCAGAAAAGGCUUCUUCAGGUGUCACAUCCUUUAGGACUCGAUGAGGACAUCUAUUCUGAAUAUAAACUGCAGUUUUGGAUGCUUCUGCCCAUAGAAAAGGUUGCAAGUCUUGAUCAUGUAUCAUGGCUCUUGCAGCUUCAACAAUGGUCCUGUUCUUUCUUUCAGCAACUCCAUUUUGUUGAGGGUUGUAAGGAACACAGAACUCCCUCUUAAUUCCUGCUUUAACACAAAAGUCAUAGAAGCUACCUGAGGUGUAUUCACCUCCAUUGUCAGACCUCAAACAUUUAAUUCAAUUUCCUGUAGUAUUUUCAACUAAGGCUUUGAAUUCUUUAAAUCUGUUUAGGAUUUCUUCAAACUCUUUAGUUUUAAGAAAAUAGAUCCAUGUUUUCCUAAAGAAAUCAUCUAUGAAGAUAACAUAAUAUAGGAAACCGCUAGGAGAUGCUAUAGACAUAGUACCACAUAAAUCUGAAUGAAUAAGUUCUAACCUUUCUUUAGCCCUACUAUCGCUUUUAUGAAAGGGAUUCUUUAUAUUCUUACCCAUUGCACAACCUUUACAAGUAUCAUCAUGAGAUAAACUGAGGUUAGGCAUACCUUUGACCAUUUUACCGAGAGUGGGAAGAGCUUGAAAGUGAAGAUGACCCAAUCUUCUAUGCCAUAGCUUGCAUGAUUCAGAGGUCUCAUGAAUGAGAGCUUGAAUUGGAUUAGCUGCAAGCUUAUAUAAACUCUCACAUCUAUUUCCAAUAAUAUGAGCAGAUUUGAAAUUAGAUUUCUUAGGCCAAGUGAGUACUUUCCCUUCAGAAAAUGCUAUUUGCAAACCCUUAUCUUCUAAAGCCGAAAUGGAAAUAAGAUUUCUUUUAAUACCAGGUACAAAGAGAAUAUCACAGAGUUGUAAGGAAAUACUAGAAUCUAGUUUUAAAGAGGUAGUGCCAGAACCUUUUACCGAGUAUAGAGCAUCAUCACCGAUUACUACAUGAAGAUUGGUGUCUUUUUCAAUCAGAUCUGAGAGAUGCUCAUGAAAUCCUGAGAUGUGUCUGGAGGCACCACUGUCAAGAAUCCACGUAUUGUUGUCCGUAGGAACAUUGCUGGAAAGAGCAGAGAUAAGAAGGUAGUCUUCACUUUGUUCGGCAACUUCAUUUAAGUUGGCUUCCCUUUCCUUUGGGUCAUUCUGACAAUCUCUGGCAUAGUGACCAUAUUUGUCACAUCUGAAGCAACGAAUGUGGGAGGAAUCUCUUGACUUUUUCCUUCUAUCAUAGGAGGAGGAUCUAAAAUCUUUGCUUCUCUUCUCUUUCUUCCAAUGACCACCUUUCUUAGAUUUAGGUAAGAGAACAUGAUUAUCUUUGAGAGAGUUCUUAAGUUUUCCUCUUACCUCAAUUCGAGAUUCCUCUUCGAUGCAAUCAGAUUGAAGACGUUCAAAGUUGGGACAAUCGGCUCUUCCACCAAUGCUACGAAUGAAUGGUUCCCAUUCAUCAGGUAGGCCAUUUAAUGCAAUCAUAACAAGAUCUUUAUCUGAGAUUUGGCAAUCAAGAGUGCUUAGCUUGUCCUUUAGUUCAUUGAUCUUCAUGAAGUAGGCUAUGAUUGAGUCUUCUUCUUUCAUUUUCAUGUGAAGAAGUUGCUGUCUUAGGGCAAGAGCCCUGCUGAGAUUGUUGACUUCAUACAUCCCUUCCAAGUGUUUGAUCAUUUCUCUGGCAGAUACAAACUUUGAUAUGACAGUGACAAGAUGAUUCUUGAUGGACUCAAUUAUGAUCCUUCUAGCUUUGAGGGAAUCUUUCUUGAAUAGUUUCAGCUCUUCAGCAUCUUCUGGAGGAGACAGCCUUUCUUCUUCUACAAAUUUCAGUAGAUCAUUUUCUUCAAGGAUCAAUAGAAUACAAACUUUCCAAGUAGCAAAAUCAAUGGCUCCCUCAAGCCUAUCUUCAGCCUUCAAACCUAACAUCUUUAAUCUGAACACAAACAACAGCUAUGUGCAACAAUUGAUUUGCUAAAAUAAGAGGUUAAUGACACCUAUAGCUCUGAUACCAUGUUAUUUUAAACCCUAGGUAUGUUAAUCAGAUUCAUAUAUUUGAUUAUGCCCUAGGUUGUAAUCAGAUUUGCAGUAUUUUAGUAAACCAACAUAGAUUAAUUGUGCCCCUAGAUUGUAUUCAGAUUUACAGUAUUUAAUAAGCCAAUAUAAAUCAGAAAUGGAAUAGUAGACAAACAAGCAUACCCUGGGAAAACCUCCAAGGAGGAAAAACCCAACAUGAAAGACCCAUAGGUCAGAUUAUAUUUUCUCCUCUAAACAUAAGUACAAUACUUAGCUUGAAUCUGAUUUGCACAUAUCAGAUCUGUUCCUUGUAUACUUCAAAGGCUUGCAUCAAGAUCCACUAUGUCCUCUUGGACAAUUUUGCACCAAGCUGAACAAGUUCUCAAUCUUCCUUAAGUUCGCACCCUUUUAAGACUUCGCACAGCAGAGCUAAAUCGCCUUGUAUAUUAUCGAACUUGAUUGAUUAUUGACUUGCAAAUUUUCAUUUACUUAUAUGCAUCAUUUAUUCUUUCAAAUGUAAGUCGGCCUCCUUGGAUUUUGGCGCCAAUGUUAAAUGGCAUGAGUUUAGCAUGGCAUUGAAUAGGGUCACAUCACCCUAGGAUAGGACCCGGUCCUAAAAUGGGGUUCGGAUGUUGCCUUAAGGCAAUCCGAACCCCUAUAUCCCUAGUUACAAUUAACAACAACAAUAUGGAAGCAAGCAGGGGCAGCAGAACAAUCUACAAGACAACACUGCAAGUGAAGGAUUGCACACUUUCAGAACUUAUGGUGAGCUAACACACAGAGUAUGAACUGCUAGAGACAUCUGGGCAAAUAGAAGAUACUGUAGCAAAGACAAACACAAGAGAUGGUCAUAAAAUUGGGUUCAUGCCAACAGAACUGACAAUUGGGUGCAGGCUUAACAAUUGGGUUAGCUUCAGGUGAGGAAAUAAUAACCCUUUGGCCUUCCCUUCAUAUGUCAGGAUAUCAUGCUUUCCUUUUCUUCAUCUGAUUAUCAUUGUUUACUUGCAAGGUCUUUGUUUCUGUGUAGGAUUGUAAGGUCCAGUAUCAUGUCCCCCAAGGCAGAUUCAAUAAUAAUUGCAGGUCUCUAGAGUUGAAGGUGAAAAUGCUCUAAGGCAGAAUGGGAGUAGAACGGGACGAAACAAGAAGAAGAACAUCUGCGUUUGGGUUCACAUGGGAAACAAUAUCCAUCCCACCUAGAGCUCCCUUCUGUUGAAGCUUCUAUACCCACACCCACAUCCACGCCCACAUUGACAACCAUAUCCUUCCCUCCCAAGUCUUGGGUUUGGUUUGGAGUUUGUGUGCCUGCCUCUCCUUUGGAUUUCUAUUACCAAAGCUUUGAUACAAUAGCCAAGGAACACACUCACAGAUUGGAACAGGAUAUACUAGAAUCUAUGGAUGUGCAAUCCAAAACACUGAUGAGGCCAUCAGGUGAUACCUUCCAAGAGGGCAACACUGAAUCCAGAGAAACUGGAGAGGAAGUUGUCAAAGGAAUCUGCGUAGAGGCAAAGAAGGGAGGGAGGUAGAAUGAAUAGUAGCAGCGAAAGUGUUCAGGUGAGAGCCAAGGUGAGGGAACUGAUGACGUGUCCACAAUGAACCAGAGUAGCCAAAGGGAGGCCAAGGUGCCUGACAAACUGCUCCCUCUCCUUGAGUGUUUGAGGGUUAGCAUUGCCUGCAAAUUUGGCUCCAUCUUCAAACAAAGGCUACAAGCUCAGGUUAAUGUCUGCUACUGAAGCAUGAUUCGAAGGCAUAUGGACUUCAGUAUUGCAAGGUUAAAACUAGAGAAGGCUCUUACUCUGGCAGUCUGGAAUUUUUAAAGAGUUGCAUCUAGUGUUUAACAAUGCACUUUUGUAUUACACAAAGUACUUUCAGGAGUUGUAUCUGUGUAUGUGCUUUGUUAAUUAGUCAGCAGUGAAAUAGUAAUAUUAUCCAAAUGAAGGCUCUGUUGAAACAAGAACGCCCAUCAACCAGAGAGAAAAUCUGGGAGGGGUCCAGAGCUGAAGUCCAUCAUUAUUUGCGGACAGAGAAAUGUAUGCAAUAAAAGCUGUGUGAGCUGUCCUAAAAAUUCAAAAGAAUCAUAACCAUCUGCUCUUGCUGCUAUACAAAUACAGAAGUCUGAAAGUGGUAAAUCUGUUUGAUAAAUGGAUAGCAGUGCUUCCUUCCCUAUCACAUGUGAGCUGGCUUCAUGACCUUACAUCUGUACAGACGUGUGUGUUUAGUAAAUCCUUUUUAAUGGCUUUUGUCUAUUGUGUCAUUAACUUUAUGGUCACUUCCUUUUUGUUGGUGAUUAGAAAUGUAGAUAAAAAUUUCAAAUCAACGAAGGCAUUUCUAUGUGAGCA